rnacentral:rRNA from 1 species
AACGAACGCUGGCGGCGCGCUUAACACAUGCAAGUCGAACGAGAAGCUGUAGCAAUACAGUUGUACAGUGGCGAACGGGUGAGGAAUACAUGGGUAACCCUACCCUCGAGGUGGGGAAUAACCAGCCGAAAGGCUGGCUAAUACCGCGUACGCCUUCCCAAUCUGCGGGUUGGGAAGGAAAGCUCUACCGUGGGUAGAGCGCUCAAGGACGGGCUCAUGUCCUAUCAGCUUGUUGGAGGGUAACGGCCUACCAAGGCAACGACGGGUAGCUGGUCUGAGAGGACGAUCAGCCACACUGGCACUGCGAC